rnacentral:rRNA from 1 species
UGGGGAAUAUUGCACAAUGGGGGAAACCCUGAUGCAGCGACGCCGCGUGGAGGAAGAAGGUCUUCGGAUUGUAAACUCCUGUUGUUGAGGAAGAUAAUGACGGUACUCAACAAGGAAGUGACGGCUAACUACGUGCCAGCAGCCGCGGUAAAACGUAGGUCACAAGCGUUGUCCGGAAUUACUGGGUGUAAAGGGAGCGCAGGCGGGAAGACAAGUUGGAAGUGAAAUCUAUGGGCUCAACCCAUAAACUGCUUUCAAAACUGUUUUUCUUGAGUAGUGCAGAGGUAGGCGGAAUUCCCGGUGUAGCGGUGGAAUGCGUAGAUAUCGGGAGGAACACCAGUGGCGAAGGCGGCCUACUGGGCACCAACUGACGCUGAGGCUCGAAAGUGUGGGUAGCAAACAGGAUUAGAUACCCUGGUAGUCCACACCGUAAACGAUGAUUACUAGGUGUUGGAGGAUUGACCCCUUCAGUGCCGCAGUUAACACAAUAAGUAAUCCACCUGGGGAGUACGACCGCAAGGUUGAAACUCAAAGGAAUUGACGGGGGCCCGCACAAGCAGUGGAGUAUGUGGUUUAAUUCGACGCAACGCGAAGAACCUUACCAAGUCUUGACAUCCUGCGACGAUGCUGGAAACAGUAUUUUCCUUCGGGACGCAGAGACAGGUGGUGCAUGGUUGUCGUCAGCUCGUAUCGUGAGAUGUUGGGUUAAGUCCCGCAACGAGCGCAACCCUUACUGUCAGUUACUACGCAAGAGGACUCUGGCAGGACUGCCGUUGACAAAACGGAGGAAGGUGGGGAUGACGUCAAAUCAUCAUGCCCUUUAUGACUUGGGCUACACACGUACUACAAUGGCGUUAAACAAAGAGAAGCAAGACCGCGAGGUGGAGCAAAACUCAGAAACAACGUCCCAGUUCGGACUGCAGGCUGCAACUCGCCUGCACGAAGUCGGAAUUGCUAGUAAUCGUGGAUCAGCAUGCCACGGUGAAUACGUUCCC